GACGAACGCUGGCGGCGUGCUUAACACAUGCAAGUCGAACGGAAAGGCCCUGCUUUUGUGGGGUGCUCGAGUGGCGAACGGGUGAGUAACACGUGAGUAACCUGCCCUUGACUUUGGGAUAACUUCAGGAAACUGGGGCUAAUACCGGAUAGGAGCUCCUGCUUCAUGGUGGGGGUUGGAAAGGUUCGGCGGUUGGGGAUGGACUCGCGGCUUAUCAGCUUGUUGGUGGGGUAGUGGCUUAACAAGGCUUUGACGGGUAGCCGGCCUGAGAGGGUGACCGGCCACAUUGGGACUGAGAUACGGCCCAGACUCCUACGGGAGGCAGCAGUGGGGAAUAUUGCACAAUGGGCGGAAGCAUGAUGCAGCAACGCCGCGUGCGGGAUGACGGCCUUCGGGUUGUAAACCGCUUUCGCCUGUGACGAAGCGUGAGUGACGGUAAUGGGUAAAGAAGCACCGGCUAACUACGUG
rnacentral:rRNA from 1 species